rnacentral:rRNA from 1 species
UACGUAGGUGGCAAGCGUUGUCCGGAUUUACUGGGCGUAAAGGGCGUGCAGGCGGUCUGUUAAGUCUAGGGUGAAAGCUCCCGGCUCAACUGGGAGAGGUCCUUGGAUACUGGCGGACUUGAGGGAGGCAGAGGAGUAUGGAAUUCCGGUGUAGUGGUGAUAUGCGUAGAUAUCGGGAGGAACACCAGUGGCGAAGGCGGUACUCUGGGCCUUACCUGACGCUGAGACGCGAAAGCGUGGGGAGCGAACCGG